rnacentral:rRNA from 1 species
UACGUAGGGUGCAAGCGUUAUCCGGAAUUAUUGGGCGUAAAGAGCUCGUAGGCGGUUUGUCGCGUCUGCUGUGAAAACUGGAGGCUCAACCUCCAGCCUGCAGUGGGUACGGGCAGACUAGAGUGCGGUAGGGGAGAUUGGAAUUCCUGGUGUAGCGGUGGAAUGCGCAGAUAUCAGGAAGAACACCCGUGGCGAAGGCGGUUCUCUGGGACGGUACUGACGCUGAGACGCGAAAGCGUGGGGAGCGAACAGG